AGACGUGAGGGGGGUCUAGCUGCAACACUGUCACCCCAUUGACUGUCGGGACUGAUUAGACUGACAUGGCAGGCUGGGCGGGUGUCCCUUUCCUUGCUCACUGCUCCUGUGUGGCCCUCCAAAACCCCUGUGCUUGGUUGAAGAGUGCAACCUUCCCAGAGCAGAGACGGACUGUGCUCACUGCUGGAGCCUCAAGCUCUCAGGAAACCCACAUUCACUUAAUGCCUACUGUGCUUGUGAAGACUUUCUACAAGAAAACAAAACAUUUUUAUAGUUGCUGUUAUAU
rnacentral:sRNA from 1 species